rnacentral:rRNA from 1 species
AGCGAACGCUGGCGGCAGGCUUAACACAUGCAAGUCGAGCGGGCAUCCUUGUGGUGUCAGCGGCAGACGGGUGAGUAACGCGUGGGAACGUGCCCUUCGGUUCGGAAUAACUCAGGGAAACUUGAGCUAAUACCGGAUACGUGCGAGAGCAGAAAGGUUUAUCUGCCGAAGGAUCGGCCCGCGUCUGAUUAGCUAGUUGGUGAGGUUACGGCUCACCAAGGCGACGAUCAGUAGCUGGUCUGAGAGGAUGAUCAGCCACACUGGGACUGAGACACGGCCCAGACGCCGACGGGAGGCAGCAGUGGGGAAUAUUGGACAAUGGGGGCAACCCUGAUCCAGCCAUGCCGCGUGAGUGAUGACGGCCUUAGGGUUGUAAAGCUCUUUUCUCCGGGACGAUAAUGACGGUACCGGAGGAAUAAGCCCCGGCUAACUUCGUG